UCAUUGCAAUUUAAACCAGCAACCAACACUAUUAAGAUAAAAACCAGACAUUGCAGUUUUUCCAAAACAAUACUUUAUAUUGUAGAUGUCAAAGACAACAUGUUAGAGCAAAGGUUCCCGAGAAAAAAUGUACUAUUUCUGUAACAAUGGUGGAACAAGUCAAAAACAUAACUGAUAAAAAAAGAAUAUGCAUUUUAUACAUAUGUAAACCUAGAACUGUUUGUUUUGAACCACAGUGGUCAUAGCAAUAACUGGCUUAUUUAGUGGAAUGGACAACCGUAACAAUGACCAGGCACCUGAAUGGAGCCCUUUGAUAAGUCCAGAUGUGACAAAGAACAAAAAAUGUCUUCCCAAAAGUCCACCAAAGUCACAUCCUGCCUGGUAUAUAAAAAAAGUUUGUCCAUUCUGUUGUCGCAGUUUACAAAGCGUCCCCUAAAACAAUUUGUUUUUCUACAUAAAUACAAUAAAAUCUAUUGUCUGUGUUACAAGUGCUAGAUACCUUUUUUUUUCUUUUUUUUGUAAAAUAUUCAACAGAAGUCUUCCAGGGUUUGAUGAUUCCAAAUCCUACAUGUACAGGUAAAAGCACAACAACCAAACUCCUCCCCAGCAGAAACAAAAAAAGCAGUAAAAGAGAUAAGAUAGUUUGGAUACAGUGAAAGUACUAACGUCCUUCAGUGCUCGAUCCCUUGUGCUGAUAUGUGGUAUGGGACAGACAGACAAGCAGGUAGGCAGUGCAUGCGGACAUACAGAUCAUGCAGAGAGAAAAAAAGGAAUGGAGUGGAGUCGGACCAGGCCGCCUAAAUAAACAGACAGUUCUUGGACCUGGCUGGACCGAACUAUGAGGGCUAAAACAAAAAGAUAUGGCCCCUCCUAAUAAAUGGAAAUUAUAACAAAAUGGAAUGUUGCUGGGGUUUUUUUUCAUUACUGGACAUUGUGUUAAGACUAACAGUGAAGACAGACGGCCAAAGUGGCCAGACAGUGCUAGUCUUGGCUCCUUUUGAGAAACCAAAGCAUUCAGCAGUAGAAACCCCAUGACUGGCACUGAUGUGCAAAGGUUCUGGGAAUGUUCUGGGCUUGGUUACCAAAAAGCAUCUCACCAAGUGUGUUUGCAUGCCCAGAGAUGUCAGCGUAUCAUAGCAAAGGUGAUACUCAUGAUAGCCUCGCUGUAUGCAUUUUCAUAUUCCAACCACAUAUACAUAUAUUUGCAUGAAGCAUCAGAAUGGUGGGAAGAAAGUCCUGAAAAAGAAUCUUUUCAAAAUUACAAAAAAUUGUGUUUGUUUGUAUAGGUGUCUGAUAUAAAGGGAUUUAAGAUUUAUUUCGUUAAUUUACAAGCGGUAAGUGAUAGAUGAAACAAGCAUAAAAAAGUCUAAAAUUUGACCUCUCUGGCUAUUUGCAGAAACCAUGGAAAAGAAUGCCAUGGAGGUGAUUUAGGAACACCUGACCCAAGCGGUGCUUCUGUAGAGAGAUGCAGCAUCACUCUGCCAGUAGAGGUCAGAUACAUUCAGUCAAAGUGAGAAAGUUUGCUCUUUGCAAGUCUGAUCAAGAUUUUAGGAAAUUUCAAUAUGCAUAUGGCCUUAUAAUCUUGUUUUUUUCUUAUAUAUUCCUGUGAGACAUAGAAAUUGUUAAAAAAUCAUUGGUCCUAACGUGGGCUCUUUCAGGGAUCAAACACCUGCGACCCUUUGGAUACAGGACGGUCUUGCUAAACAACAGGCCACCCUGAAACCCAAGGCAUCACUUAGCUGAUGAACCAGAUUACACAUGUGGAUGAGAGGAAUUCUAAGAAAUGUUAAGUUAAAUUAAAAUUAAAGACGUUUGGCCAGAUAAGGAAAUAAGUGAUGAUGGUGUGAACUCAUUUGUAAGGCCCAUCAGAGUGAUUUAAUGUAGGGGAAAUAGCAUGGCCAUGUUCCAAUUCAAAUCCACCCAUCCCAUUUUUCUUGCUCUUUUUUUUUUUCCUGUUGUUGAAGAUGAACUUGUAAACCUUUAAGAAAGAGGAAGAAACAGAUCACCACUUUGGCCACUUUUGAGACGUGCAGAAUCCCAAUUUGAAUUUUAGUCUCACAUUUCUUGAAAUACUUAUAGGUGCUGGCCAAAAUGUGUGGUUUUCUACAAUAUCUACACAAAAAAUAAAAAUGACAUGUGAUGCUGAGCACACCUACUGUAACAGUGUUAUGAGGGAAUGGGAUGGAUAAAGCCAAAAACUAAUCAUCAGUGUUGAAAGAUAAAAAGACAACCAGUAAAUGCUACUGAACACGUAACCAGCUUUAACCAAGGACAGUAUAUGGUGCCUUCAGUGACACCCUAAAAAGAGCCGACUGUAUGUAAGGCCCGUUAAGUGUAUCAUUUCAAUACCAACUUCAAAAACAAGAUCAUAGUAUUUCAUUAUGUAGAUAUAUAUAUAUAUAAUAUACUCAUUUCUUUUCAUAUAUAAAUCUACUAUGAACAGACAGUAAAUACACAAUUGUCCAUCGUUAUACAAAGUAGAAACAUUUGCAUCCCGACCCUCCCACAAAAACCCUGAACCCAGAAAACACAGUCAUGUAAUGUCCACUAAAAACAGACUCUGAACCCUCACCUGUUGUGAAGUAUGUCAGCUUUACAAUGUAACAGAGACACAGACAGGGGGAUAUGAACAAAACAACAUUAAAAAAGUACAAAAGAAGUCACUGGAGUCCACUGGAAGGGCAACAAAACCAAAACAAAAAAAGACACGGAUGAGGGGCAAGAGAAUCAACUAAAGUAGAGUAGUCAUUGACAAAUGUGUGUGGCAGGAAUACUCAGGAGAUCAACGGCCUUUGUACAGUAAACAACAGUAAACACCACAGCAUUCUGUUUCCUGUUCACUGCAAAAAUACAUUAAACAUGAUUAGCUCGUAGAUGAAACAAAGGUAAGAGAAGGUAGUUGCCCAGGGGCCAAACACAAGCUGGAGAAAUGGUUGCAGACAGAGGUUUACUUCUGCACACUGACUGUUUUAUCAAUCUUGUACAUGUAUUUUUUUCUUUGUGAAAAGGACAAAAGCUUCAGUGGCUGACAAGAGCAGACACACUACAACGACCCCGAACUUUUCCAAUCGGUGAAACGUGCUGCAGCUUCAGAAACGAUGCCAACUCAAAAAUACGUACGGAAAUCCAAAACAAAUACAACAAUGGAAAAGUGCUGCGAAUGCAAAACGUGCUGCAGAAAGCCAAAACAAAGACAUCUGAAAUGAUGCAAAGCCAAAAACACACAACCACCAAAAACAAAUACAACAGAAAAAUGCUGCAUAUCCAGUCAACAUAAUGGAAGUUCAAUGGCCUCCAGGGGGAGCGCUGAGUGGAACAGCUUAACUUCCAGCCCUGGAAACAGACCACACAUGAGUGUGUUUGUUUUUGAAGCAGAAAGAAAAGUGGAAUAAAGUCGUAACAUUAAAAGGUACGAUUCUUUUUUUUGGCAGUUGGCCUUAGCCGUGUAUAAUAUCAUAAAAGAGCAACAAAUUUACGUAACUCUGUGGCUCUGGUUAAAAAUCAGGCUGUUCCAUCUAACGCUCCCCUGGAGGCCUGGUUAACUUCCAUCAUGUUAACUGAUUGUGCAGUGUUUUACUGUUGCAUUUGUUUUUUCAGGUUUGUAUGAGACUUUGCAUUAUUUCUGAGUUUGAAGCGUGUUUGCUGUUCAUGUAUUUGUUUUUUCAUUUGAAUCACAUUUUCUGUUGUUGUAAAUCCAAUUUGUUUUGGAUUUUCGUAUGGGUUUUGAAUCGUCAUUUCCAAAGCUGCAGCAUGCAUUUAGCAAUGGAAAUGUUUGGGGCCAUUGUAGCACAUUUGCCUUUGGCCAAAAUGGACAACUAAAUUUACUUACAACUAGGCUGGUGGCUGGUGAGUUGUAUAGUCUUGCUAGCGGGGUUAAGUUUAAAUUAAGAGCCAGUACAGAGCACAAAUUCAUUAAGCUCAGUGUACAAUGCAACAAGCCGAUCUUUCACUUCUAUCUUCUUAAAUAUUAAGCUAAUACCUGAUUUAAAAAGAUUCCGAUUUAGUAAAAUGCAGGAUACAGAAUCUGAGCUACAUGUGUUAUUCAAAGUUGCAAGGAUACUCAUAAUGCAUGGGCGUAUCCCACUGGCUGGGUCACUGCUCAAUAGAAAAGGAUGAUUAAUAAAGAAUAACAACUGGAAAAAUAUAUGUGUGCACUUGAAUAUUUAUAAAGAGCAGCUUGUGCUUCAGUGUAUGUGAACAGAUAUACACACACCUGCCUCACAGCACCUGACAUUUGGGCAGCAGAUGUGCUUAACAAGGGACUAAAGAUGUUAAACCAGCUGUGAGAGCCUGUGCAGCCCAGGAACACCCUUGUGGAAAAUCCCAGGUGGUUCAGUCAUUGUAACCGCAGAGACACAGUUGUCAUAAAGAGAGGGCUGCUGAAACAAAUUGGCCCAUAUGAGAUUAAUUCCUCUCAUCUCAUUAAUCUGACAAAAAGUGUGACUAAUUCUAAUGUAGAAAUGAAGUGGUUUGAUACUACAGAGAUCAAAGUCCAUCAUGCUUUGGCUUCAUUACUGUCUAAAUACACACAGUAUGAAAAGGUUUGUAGUUUUCAUAAGUCCUGUUGUUCUAGUACAGUGCAUGCUACAUGAGUCUUUGCUUGAUGCCUAUCUUAUCAGCAGGCCAACACAAAAUCUGCGC